rnacentral:tRNA from 2 species
GGAGAGGUGGCAGAGUGGUCUAUCGUACCUGACUCGAAAUCAGGAGUGCCGCAAGGCACCGAGGGUUCGAAUCCCUCCCUCUCCGCCA